rnacentral:lncRNA from 1 species
AACUCGCCAUCCCCGCCGUCGGGGUCAAUAGGCUUCCACCCAACCGCCGUCUCCACAGCUACAACAUCAUCCGCAGCACUCGCGGCAUUCUUCGCGCCGUCUGGUCCGGUCUCCGCAUAAUCCGCCGAGGCCAUCGACAACCACAACGUCAACCUCUCUCUCCUCCUUUACCUCCACUGCCAUUGAGGGCUAAGGGGUUCUCCCCUUUUAGAUUGAGAUAGUUCUUCACGAAGAGAGUUGGUUUUUUCUCUUUCCGAUGACGCAAGUCAGGCGUUUUUCCCGAGCGGCAUCCCAAUCAAACACAACAUGAUCGACCAAGAGCCCGGCGACAGAAGCACCAUACGCCCUCGCCUCCAUUCGAGACAGCCUCUUUAGCACCAUACCUUACAGUGACUGGUCAAGGGAGCAGCUCUCUUCCUGCGUCCGGCAACACGCCGUCGUCACGGCUAGACACCGCCAGUUGGUGUGCACUUUCCUCAAUAAAACCUCAGUAUUCCUAGGUUUAACACUAAAACCAGCACCGCAAACUACCAUCACCCACCUUAGUUCCACGACAACAAAGGUCUGACUCUUAUCACCUGCUCUCCGGCAAUGUCGAGGUUGGCAAUGACAUUGUCAGGUUCAUCCCCUCACUUUAAACGGGUUCAGCCCAUCCUACGAGGAUCGCCGCCAUCUCCACCGCCUAGGGCUUUUGCACCCGCAACGACAGCUGCGCUGUCCAGCCACUAACAUUCACAACGACCGUCGCGCCGUUCGGUUCAGCCUCCAUAUCAUUCACAGGCAUUGCCGCAAUCCGCCACCGGCGCCGGACCUUUCAACUAUCAAACUAGUCAACUGUAAUAUUGUCGAUGACGUCAGCCAGCACAGAGAACCCC